GUGGGGCUAUAAGUUAGUAGACUCUUCUCAGCUAAGGUUAGGGAUCAGAUUAUGCAUUGUAUCUGGUCAAUUUGCAAGUUUGAUGUUACUACUUUACACCCACAUUUUGCAUGUAUCCAGGAUAGGGUUUAUCCAGGUACAUUUGAAGAUAAAAAUAAGAAGCCCUUCUUCAAAGGUUGUCCUACUCUAUAGAAAGAUGUAAAUCCAUAAGGUAUUGGACCAGAGGAAGUUAAAACCCACAAAAAGAAGAAGUGUUGUAAAAGAGAACAAAGUUCAAAGGCUAUUGGAAUAUCCUUAAUUAUUGGGAACAUCCUUAAUUAUUUAAACUUGAGCAGAAAGAUAUGCACACUAUUUAUUCGAAUA